GUGAGGAAAGGGAUUUUUUUGUGAUCUGGUGAGGAAGGGGGUUUAGGUGCUUGGGAUUGGGUAACGUCGGCGGCGGGGUUCGUAGUCUAGGGUAUCGGCGACGGAGGCGGCGGGGGUUGGCGGUGGCGGCAGGGGUUGGUGGCGCCGGUGGCGGCGGCGGCAGGGGUUGGUGGCGGCGGCGGUAUCAGGGGUAGUGUGAUGCCGCUGGAGAUGGGCCUCGUGCGGCAGCGGGGUGUGGUAGCGUUGAGGAGGCAGCGGGGUUGGUGUGGGGUGACAGCACGGGAGGUGGUCCUGGGGGUGCUCGUGGGUUGUUUCAGUCUCGAGCUCGGUAGCGGGGGUUCGUGAAGCGGCCGCUGGUAGCGAAGUCUCGGCACGGCAGUUGGGGUUCGUGAGUCGGUCGCUGGUAGGAGGAGGCGGCAGCAGGGAGUGGUGGUAGGAGGAGACGUCUGGAGGAGGGGACUCGUCCGGGAGGCGUGUUCGAGUUGGCUCGUGGUUCCUCCAGGAGUUCACCGUGGCGGAGGAAUAACUCGAGGAGACGUCGACGUGGAAGAGGUAGCCACUGUGGAGGUGAUCUCUAACGGCGUACUACCGGAUACGGGCGUGUGCAGGCGUCGGGUGUCGGGUGUUAACCCAGCAUGCGAAUCAUACCGGAGAGGUGCGGACCGAUAGGUAAUGGACACGCGUCGGUGCGUCACCCAAGGUUAGGGGUGAGGAGCGGCGGUUUACCCUCGCCGGCUAGCUCCGCUGCGGUACGCGUCCUCACCGGUACAGUUAGCUACGCUGAUGCGGCCGAAGCACUUAGCUAGAGCCGUUCUUGUACUAGAUGAAACAGGUUAGCAAGCAGAUGUGAAGUCUAACGUCGGUUAAGAUCAAGACAGACCCUAUAAGUUAGAAUCAUAGACUACUGCAUAAAACCUCAAAGCUUUACCUUCUGUAGUAAAAGUUCGUUAAUAUCACUUUGACCAGUUCUUACCUGUUCUCAACCUACCUAUUUCGAUCUUUGUGUGUUCGUAUAUAACUGCCCCUAUAGCCGUACUUCUACCUGUACUUCCACCUACACCUGUACUUCCCCUUAUACCACCACCUAUACUUCGUAAACCUUCACCUGUUCGGGUACCGCUUUCGUCCUUACGUUGGUGUUCGUUCGACUCCUCCAUUAUAGGUACAAAGGUUCUUAAAAAGUACGGGAGUUGAGACAUUUAUAAAGGAUAUCAUGUCAUGACUUCAAAUGUUUUACAACAAGGACCAACGCAUGGAAAAUGUUUUAUAAAGUAUAUCCUUUAUCAUGUCAUGACUACAAAAAGUCAUGAUAUAUUUACAUAAAGUCAUAACAUGAUAUCCUUUAUAAAGUCAUGAAUGCUCAAAUUUACUGUUGGUCUAAGAUUUGAGGUGAUCACAAUGUCAUGACUUCGUUGGACAUGAGACCUUUCAUGGCUUCAAAUGUUUUACUUUUAAAAGUACGGGAGUUGAGACAUAUCAUGACUAAAAAACCGUCUAAGAUUAAACAAUUAUAGAUCGAUAUGACCGUCGAGGAACGAGAAGGAUGAGACCGUUAAAAACGGACCAACGCAACAAAAAGCACACUGUUUUGUCUAAGAAAUACUACCCAUAACGACGACGUAAAGGACUUCAUAAACCUAACUGCACAGGGGCGGGGACGGAUAAACAUGAAGAGUCACAUGAUACAAAUGAUAUCUACAACUGCCUCUAAUCCUUCUAGAACUUCGGUGACUACUAAACCUUUUGGAUACUAAUUCAACGACUCACUAAUACAUUAUACGAAACAAACAACUUGGACCUGUGAACGAGACGAGUAAAACGACCAAUUCGGUGAUAUACGAGUAAAACCAACACCGUGGGGAUCUUUGUAUACAUGAAAGAGGAAAACACCGUUAUGAAGUCAAACCAACACCGUGUAAAUUGUAUAUACAUGACAUGGAAAACACCGUCUUGGAGGAAUACAUAUAUACCUAUAAUACAAAUAGACUACUACAAAUUCCAAAAGACCUGCUCCGGAUAUACAAUGAGACUAACUUCACAUACCUACUCUACAUACACG
rnacentral:rRNA from 1 species